AUUUCCAGGAUGGAUUUCUCCGGAUUCUUUGCUUUGCUGAAGUGAAAGAAGCUGUCAAGCUUCCUCGCUUCUGAUUGAGACAGACCUAAACAAAUAAAAUAAUGCACAUCGGUGAGUAAUUUAAACUCAACCACAGCAACGAGGAUCCAACGAUGUCAAGAUAUUCAUGUUGGCUUGGAAGUUAACCAAAUAAACAUAACAAAUGCUGCGGUUGAUCUGGACAACACCAAGAGGACUUUUAACGAAGGCGCCACGAGGCACCACAGACGCUUCCUCCUCGAUCAGAUGGACCGUCACCGCCAGCCGGAUUUCCUCGAUGACUUUGAUCUGAAAACCAAGAACACUUCAUCCUCCUGUUCGGGCUUCUUCUCGUGAUACUCGUACACGUAAGAGGGGUCUCCGAUGAAGCGACUCUUCGCAGCCUUGGACACGUCUUGGAUCAUGGAGUCUGUGGCAGGAGGCAGCAGAGACCAGUCCAUGCAGUUCAAGCUGCACACACAGAACCAAGGACACACAAAUAGGAAGAGUACCCCACACAGAAGAGAACACACAAGGACAGCCCCUCACCAACCCAUCCACUCACUCACACAGACAAACACACUUUGAGCUUGUGGCUCAGGAUGUCACCCCAUUAGACUUGGCAGGCUGGGAGGUGGACGUUUGGGACUUGGGGGCCACCGAGUGAUCCACACAGACACACAACUCCAUGUUCUGUUCCCCAAUCGGACGGGAGGGGAAGUGAUACUCGGGAGCGGAGCGUCCCUGUUUCUGUUCCUGGUCCCGCCGCUCUGGGAAACUCACCUCCCAGGCGACCGGCGUUGCCACGGCGCUAAUCCUGACGGACAAAAGAUGGGAGUGCCGCGGAGCGCGAUGCUGCCAGACGCUCUCAUUGGCUGGCACCGUCCCACGCGAUGCUGUGAUUGGCCCGCGCUGUGUUUAUAUACAAAUUGGAGCAGUCAGAGGUCACAUCCAUCGAUCUUGGUGGUGACGUGAAGGAAACCUGACCUCAAAAACCUUUCGGACUCUAAAUGGGUUUAAUUCCUAUUUGAUACACACACACAGGCACACAUACAUACAUGCAUACACACAGACACACACACGGUUUCUUAAAUUCAGUGGCAUGGGAGUGCAGAAUUCAGUGAAUACUGAGAGAGAGAGAGGGAGGGAGUGGGAGUGAAGUGACUAAAUAAUAGUGUCUGUGCUAUACAAAAGAACAGACGACAACAAUACCAAGAAUGCAUCGAGGGCACCGAGUUCAGGGGGUUGCACACCUAUAUGCAAACACAGAGGUUUGGGAUUAAGCCUGGAUAAAUAUUUUGAUCCAGAGAACGGCGUGUUGUGUAAACUAGUAAUACCGUACAGGAUAAAUUACUGCUUUCACUUGACCUCGGGUAUAGUCUGAAAACCAAUCAUUAUUAUCACAGUCAGGUUUUAUCUGCUAUCUUCACAUUUCAAAGCGUAUUCUUUUUUGUUGAGUUACUACUCUCCUCACACUGUACUUUCUGUAUCUAGCACCGUCACUGAGUUGACAAAUGAAAAAAAACGAUUACGAAUGAAUCGGCUACGCUCGCAUUACGGCGAUUAUUACGGUUGUCGCAGAUAUAUCUGUACAAGAAGUUCCCGGACAGAAAGGUCAAAGAUAACUGUUUAAGUGUCUCAUUACUAUUCUGUCCUUUUUGGGAUCUGGUGAUUUUCCUGCUUACAUAUCUUGGUCAUAAUUCUGGAAAAGUAAUAUGUUGAUGUAAUUUUUCCUGUGAAGAUUGACACCAUGCGUUUGCACUAAAUACGAAGCUUAGUUAGCUUAGCUUAGCACAAACACUGGCGGCGGGUGGUAUCUAAAGCUAACAAGUGAACACCGUGUUUGUUUAUUAAUCUGUACACACAGCUCUCCUCCUAGCUUCAUGUUUAGAGAGGGCUGAUAAUCUUCUGAUAUUACGACAACAGCAAAUCAUAAUAUUCCCUUCGAACACUUAUUUUAAAGGUCUCCAACUUUUAAAUGUAUUUUAUUUUAAAUUUGUAAUUUAUUUAACCAGGAAAUGCCUCAUUGAGAUAAAAAAAAUCUCCUUUACAAGAUGGCAGUAGUAGCGCAUAACGCAAAGUUUCAGACAAUACGACAUAAAACAGUGAAAAAGAAGGAUCAUUUUUUAGAUCGCAGCAUGAAUAAAACCAAAACUAAGACUCAAGUCAUCAUAACCCAGUUCACACAGGUGCACAUACCUCCGUCAUCUACAACCAGAUGAACCUACCUCCAACUCUUUCAAUCUAUUUUUUAAAACACCUAAAGAGAACCGGCUCCCGCAGACCCAAAUAUUCUGUUCAGUAAAUCUUCUAAGAACCGUCUUAAUAAUGAAAGCCAAACAUGUUGUUUCUAAUUAAAUGAAGUUAUAGUGUAACCAGGAGUGUCCCUUUUGGUGCACAUGCAAAAAUGCCUUUAAUUUCCUUUCUCAAAUAGGCUACGUUCCAUCUUCCCCUAUAAUUUGAACAAAAUGACAUGGUGGUUUUUCCAGGAAAAUAAAUGGUGCCCCACAGACGUGAGGGUGUCUGCUGUCAGCGGGGUUAUCUCUCAGACUAAACAGAAAGCAGAUCAGACUAGGCGACUGAAAGAUUUGGGUUUUUACCAGGCACAAUUACAUCACUGACGGUAAUAAAUGAUUUAGGCAUUUUUUUUUUUACUUCUCGUUGCAUCUUUUCAUCCGACUCGAGCCUCCCUUGAAGACUCUGAGUGAGCGGCGCUGGCUUCAGACCAGCAUUGUGUCUGAGAACAUCUUGUGGAGCCGUUUCAACAUGCGACGCCACAAAAACCGCUCCCAGUUUGGAGUGAACUUCAAAUCAGACUUUCACACGCUCCUUUCGCCCAGAACCAUGUGGGCCCGAAUUUGAGCCAGUGAAUGUGUGGUGUGUUUAACUUUGGGUUCACAGUUUGGGUUCUGGAAAGCUGCACGGAGCCGCUUCCCAGGCUGCAUGCGGCCUUCACGUCCACGUUCCUCCCACGAGCUCCUGUCACAGCAAGUGCUUUAAAACACACGUUUCAUACACACGGCCCAGAGACGCUCCGUCAGGCAUCCGACAUCAAACGAUCGUCUCUUUCCCGGCUCAUCCUCGGAGACAAGAGAGGAUAUCUGCAAGUUAUUAGUGCCCCCGCAUUGACCCCGCACAGCUUUCUCACGUGACCUUGUCGAGGUAUGCGUGUUCAAAUCUCCUCGUGUGGGGGUCAUGUGGUGCAGGCUGGUGUGAUUGCGAAUAAAGAAGCUAUAUGGUG